AUCACAUAGCCAGGGUGCGAACGCACAGCGAAAGGUGCUUGCACCUUUCAAGUGAGUGGCGAACGGGUGAGUAACACGUGGACAACCUGCCUCAAGGCUGGGGAUAACAUUUGGAAACAGAUGCUAAUACCGAAUAAAACUUAGUGUCGCAUGACACAAAGUUAAAAGGCGCUUCGGCGUCACCUAGAGAUGGAUCCGCGGUGCAUUAGUUAGUUGGUGGGGUAAAGGCCUACCAAGACAAUGAUGCAUAGCCGAGUUGAGAGACUGAUCGGCCACAUUGGGACUGAGACACGGCCCAAACUCCUACGGGAGGCUGCAGUAGGGAAUCUUCCACAAUGGGCGAAAGCCUGAUGGAGCAACGCCGCGUGUGUGAUGAAGGCUUUCGGGUCGUAAAGCACUGUUGUAUGGGAAGAACAGCUAGAAUAGGAAAUGAUUUUAGUUUGACGGUACCAUACCAGAAAGGGACGGCUAAAUACGUGCCAGCAGCCGCGGUAAUACGUAUGUCCCGAGCGUUAUCCGGAUUUAUUGGGCGUAAAGCGAGCGCAGACGGUUUAUUAAGUCUGAUGUGAAAGCCCGGAGCUCAACUCCGGAAUGGCAUUGGAAACUGGUUAACUUGAGUGCAGUAGAGGUAAGUGGAACUCCAUGUGUAGCGGUGGAAUGCGUAGAUAUAUGGAAGAACACCAGUGGCGAAGGCGGCUUACUGGACUGCAACUGACGUUGAGGCUCGAAAGUGUGGGUAGCAAACAGGAUUAGAUACCCUGGUAGUCCACACCGUAAACGAUGAACACUAGGUGUUAGGAGGUUUCCGCCUCUUAGUGCCGAAGCUAACGCAUUAAGUGUUCCGCCUGGGGAGUACGACCGCAAGGUUGAAACUCAAAGGAAUUGACGGGGACCCGCACAAGCGGUGGAGCAUGUGGUUUAAUUCGAAGCAACGCGAAGAACCUUACCAGGUCUUGACAUCCUUUGAAGCUUUUAGAGAUAGAAGUGUUCUCUUCGGAGACAAGUGACAGGUGGUGCAUGGUCGUCGUCAGCUCGUGUCGUGAGAUGUUGGGUUAAGUCCCGCAACGAGCGCAACCCUUAUUGUUAGUUGCCAGCAUUCAGAUGGGCACUCUAGCGAGACUGCCGGUGACAAACCGGAGGAAGGCGGGGACAACAUCAGAACAUCAUGCCCCUUUUGACCGGGCUACACCGGGUACAAGGCGUAAUAACAAAUUGCCACCCGCCGGGGGGAGCAAACCCUUAAA
rnacentral:rRNA from 1 species